AAGACUAUACUUUCAGGGAUCAUUUCUAUAGUAUUUAACUAGGAAAUGUGAUUAGAAAGUGUUACGUCUCCCUAUUCACGAUGAUGAGCUUUGAUGUAUUCCUCUGAGCGUGAAGCGGAUUGUAGCUAGUGCUUUUUGCAUGUGCUAUGAUCAUUGAUGAACGUUCUAUGUCUUUUUAAGGCAGUAGAGGAGGAGUACAUGAUCAGAGUGAU